rnacentral:rRNA from 1 species
GGGCCCGCACAAGCAGUGGAGUAUGUGGUUUAAUUCGAAGCAACGCGAAGAACCUUACCAAGGCUUGACAUCCUACUUACGAAGUAGAGAUACAUUAGGUGCCCUUCGGGGAAAGUAGAGACAGGUGGUGCAUGGUUGUCGUCAGCUCGUGUCGUGAGAUGUUGGGUUAAGUCCCGCAACGAGCGCAACCCCUAUUGUUAGUUGCUACGAAAGAGCACUCUAGCGAGACUGCCGUUGACAAAACGGAGGAAGGUGGGGACGACGUCAAAUCAUCAUGCCCUUUAUGUCUUGGGCUACACACGUACUACAAUGGCGGUCAACAAAGCGAGGCAAAACAGUGAUGUGGAGCAAAAUCGCAAAAAGCCGUCUCAGUUCGGAUCGCAGGCUGCAAUUCGCCUGCGUGAAGUCGGAAUUGCUAGUAAUCGCGGAUCAGCAUGCCG